UAUUUAACCUGACUUUUUACAUCUGUGGCUAAAUAUGGCCAGAUACAUACAUAUUUUAGAUAAUUUUCAUCAUAAUUACAAGAUUGCCACCGCGUUUAGUUAUGCUUCUGGUACAUUGAAGUCAGAUGUAAAAAGUCUUGUCUAUUUAUUUUUUACAUCUGUGGAUAUUGAAGCCAGAUGAAAAGGCUACUCCAUAUAGCCUUUUACAUCUGACAUAUGCUCGUCAGAUGUAAACAUGAUGUGUAAUAUGUCAUAUUUG
rnacentral:lncRNA from 1 species